UUUUCUCCGGCGCCUUCGCCGCCGCCGCCCGCGCCCGGGAGCGCGCUUUUCUCUGCCUGCGGUCGGUGCGCUCGGCCGGAGCCGCCGCGGCGGAACGGAACCCAGAGAAGGCGGCGCUCGGGGCUGCCCGCGGCGAGGGAGGCUGCGCCCAGGUCACCGGCCCCGCGGAGAGCGCCCAGCCGCGCCAUGGGGGAGGCGCCCAGCCCCGCGCCCGCGCUCUGGGACUGGGACUACCUGGACCGCUGCUUCGCCCGCCACCGCGUCUGCAUCUCCUUCGGCCUGUGGAUCUGCGCCUCCUCCUGCUGGAUCGCCGCCCACGUGCUGCUUCUCUAUCUGAGAUGUGCAAAGAAAUCCAGACAGGACCAGUCGGCGCUGUGUGCUGCGUGCUGCCUCCUGACCAGUCUGUGUGACACCAUCGGGGCUGUUCUCGCCAGACAGCUCACAAUCCAGGUUUUCACUGGUGCCUACCUAGCAGCUGUUGACUUAGUGAACUUUAUGUUCAUUCUCUUCCCAGUCUGUGGAUCCAAAUUCAAGUCUAAUUCAGAUCGGGAAGCCCGAGAAAGGAAGAGGAGGCGGCAGCUCAGGGCCAGUGUGUUUGCCCUGGCCCUGCCGCUGAGCCUGGGCCCGUGCUGGGCUCUCUGGGUUGCUGCCCCAAAGGCUUCAGCCACCAUCCGGGGGCCACAGCGGAGGCUGCUGGGGAGCCUGCUGCAGGAAAAUACUGAGAUCCUCGGCUACCUGCUGGGUAGCAUUGCCGCCUUUGGCUCCUGGGCUUCUCGGAUCCCCCCUCUCUCCAGAAUUCCCCUCCCUCUCUCUGCCCAGUGCCAGGGGAAGACAUUUCCUUCCAUCCACCUGUGGACUCGGCUCCUGUCGGCCCUGGCUGGCCUCCUCUAUGCCUCAGCCAUUGUGGCCCACGACCGGCAGCCCGAGUACCUGCUGCGGGCCACACCCUGGUUCCUGACCUCCCUCGGCCACGCGGCGCUGGACCUCGCUAUUAUUUUCCUUUCGUGUGUGAUGAAGAGCAAGAUGAGACAGGCCUUAGGAUUUGCCCCUGAAGCCAGAGAGAGCCCUGACACCCAAGCCCUUUUGACCUGCGCAGAGAAAGAGGAAGAAGACCAGGAGGCGAGGAACGAGGACAAGAAUUUGGAUUGGGUGCCUCUCACCACACUGUCACACUGCAAGUCACUGAGGACAAUGACAGCAAUCAGUCGCUACAUGGAGCUGACCAUUGAGCCUGUGCAGCAGGCAGGCUGCAGUGCCACCAGGCUGCCAGGUGACGGACAGACGAGCGCUGGAGAUGCGUUGCUGCAGGAGCCCCCAUCGUACCCUCCCGUUCAGGUCAUCCGGGCCCGAGUGUCUUCCAGCAGCUCCUCCAAGGUCUCCUCCAUCAACUCCGACCUGGAGUGGGACCCUGAAGAUGUGAACCUCGAAGGCAGCAAAGACAAGGUGGAGCUGCUCGGAUCCCAGGUGCACCGGGACUCUGUGAGGACCGCACACCUGAGUGAUGAUGAUUAACACCUUCUGGAGCCGGCUCUUCAGCUCAGAGCCCAGGGUCAGGAGUUUGUUGAGUAACACAGCAGGAAUCAAUCCGCACUGACACCGUGGCAGGAACUGAAGCUGCCCUGGAAAGUGAGGAACCAGGAGCCGUCACUGAGUGUGGCUGGUCUAUAUCAUAGCUCAUUGUGGAGCAACAACUUUGGGAACUGCGGACAGACCUGGAUAGGCCCAGUGUUUGUUCUGAAGAUUACAAGUUCACAGACCACUCUUGCUUUGUAAAGAUAAUCCAAAGGACAUUAGACCCGCUUUUCCUUUUUCCCUUUAUUCCCUUGAGAGUCAGCCAUAAACUGAAUACCUGCUAGGUUCCAGGAAUGAGUUCACCUAACAAAUAGCGAAUGUGUUUGGUUGGAUCUCAGCAGAGCCCAUUCUGCAAGACCUGGCUGAGCCAGAUGAGAGGGGUGGGCCCUGUGCUGGGGAGCCUUGGGUCACACACAGGAACCAAGACCUGGCUUCUGCCCCCGUCACCCACUUGAGUUAUCUGCUGAAAGUUAUAGAUAGGACUGCGUGGCCAGCCAAGUGUUUGUGAGAUCACUGACACUGCCAAACCAAAGCAAACUGCUCCGGGUACCAGGACUUCCUCCAACCUAGCGAGGUGUGUGCUGACGCGGGGUUCACAGGUAUUGCUCUACUCUCUUCGACUUUACAUUGUUUUCGAUGCUUUUGCAAGGAGACUCUGCCUUGAAUGAACCCUAGAUAUGGUGCGAUGUUGAGGAAGAUCUCCAAGUUUACACAUGCCUGCACGAUGGCCCAAAGGUAUCAUCAGGUGAAAGGGACGACCUUAGAGAUGAAAGAAGUUCAAGGAAUGGUGCUACAUUAAAUGACUUAGCAUUAAAAAGCAUCUACUUUGCCUUUUCUUUCACCAACCCUGAAAGCCAAAUAAGACACUGGGCAUUGAGGACUUCUUUUGAGCAGAACCCGUGAUUACACAGCGUUAUUCUUCAAGAGACUCUCGUAAUCUGUCGCCUGGAGAACUCUGCACACUGUCCCAAUUCCGUCUGCAUUUUCCAUCGGCUGCCAGUGUUCGUAGCAGAGGGCUCGGGUCUUCUCGUCCUCUCCUCAGGGUCUGGCAGCUGUCACUACCGUGGAGUUCGGUCCAGUUCCCAGCGUUGGGGGCGCUGCCUUUCCCAUUUCAGUUGCCAGGAGGCUCAUCCACGAUCGUGCCAGAGGGGCAGCGAGUGGUCUCCUCGAACUACGGGGGAGAGAGGAGCCACUGUUGGCACGGGCCAGACUGAACGCCGGUUCCCACUGCCUACCUCCUCGGAGCUGCAGCCGCCGACAUCUUGCGCCCUAUUGCCAGCACCGCGGGGGCGCUUCGGGAAGAAGGGACUAGCGGUUCCGCGCGUGCGCA